GAUGAACGCUAGCGGCAGGCUUAACACAUGCAAGUCGAGGGGUAUAGUUCUUCGGAACUAGAGACCGGCGCACGGGUGCGUAACGCGUAUGCAAUCUACCUUUUACAGGGGGGAUAGCCCAGAGAAAUUUGGAUUAAUACCCCAUAGUAUGUUAGAGUGGCAUCAUUUUAACAUUAAAGUUCCAACGGUAAAAGAUGAGCAUGCGUCCCAUUAGCUAGAUGGUAAGGUAACGGCUUACCAUGGCGACGAUGGGUAGGGGUCCUGAGAGGGAGAUCCCCCACACUGGUACUGAGAAACGGACCAGACUCCUACGGGAGGCAGCAGUGAGGAAUAUUGGACAAUGGGCGCAAGCCUGAUCCAGCCAUGCCGCGUGCAGGAAGACGGUCCUAUGGAUUGUAAACUGCUUUUGUACAGGAAGAAACACUCCCUCGUGAGGGGGCUUGACGGUACUGUAAGAAUAAGGAUCGGCUAACUCCGUGCCAGCAGCCGCGGUAACAC
rnacentral:rRNA from 1 species